UUAUAGUAAAAACUUGGUUUCAAAGCAAGUCAGUAACCAUAUGAAUGGCUACGUAACCACAGGGGAUGAGGGGGAUGGAUAGGCUAAAAAGCUUUCUCCGAUAGAACAUUUAAACUUGUUAAUGAUCCUUCCGCAGGUUCACCUACGGAAA
rnacentral:misc_RNA from 1 species